CUCAUCUUUUUAUUAGAUUGAUUUGUUUUAUAGUCUAGGUGGUUUGUGUGCUCAAGGUCUGGCUUGGGGGCCAGACAUAAAACUUGUAUAUUUGUGGCCUUAGUUUUGCUGUAGUUUUAACCUCGAUUUUAACCUCAUUUAGAGUAUUUCACCUCCACACCUUUAGCUCAUUAGCUUUAAGCUAACUAUUAGCUACUUCAGUUACCAUUCAGAAAUUCAAAUACGAUAAUUUUUGUUUGUUUGUUUGUUUGUUUUUUAAGUUAUUUCCAGUAUAACCUUUACUUCCCUGUUUUUGGCUUUUGUCUUUAUAACUUAUCUAACUAACCUAUCUAAUUUUAGCAAUCUUUUGACAUUCUUUUAGCUAUUUUUGCUAUUUGUUUGCUCUUUCUUUCAAUUGACUUUUGUCCAAUAAUUAUUAUAAAAUCACUUUCCUAAAGUUAACAGCUGUAACUAUAUUUUUUUCAAACAAUAUCUACCAAGGCUUUUGCCUAAGGCAAACUUUAGCAAGUUCUUGUAUUUUGAUAUUUUUGUUAUAUUAUUAUAAGAUAUUUUUUUAUUUAGUCUAUUGCCAACUCUCUUUUCUAAAAAACCCUAACCCUUAUUUUUGCCACAGUUUUCUUAGGUAUUUGUAGCCUAGCCUGCUGUUGUUUUGUCCAAUUAUUCAAAGCACUACACUCCAACAGUUCAGUUUUUGUGUUUACUUUUUUUUUUUAGUAAACUGUUUCCUUAACUGUUGACAUAUAUAUUUUAUUUAAGGUUGCUCCACAGUGAUGCAUCUGACUCCGUCUCACUUCAUUCUUUCACUACAUCCAAAACUCUUCUGCAGGUUCUUCUUUCCAUCCUACCUGUCCUGUCCACCUGCAACAUCUUUGUCCAACAUCAAUUUCCACUUCCUGAUCUGCUCACCUCCAAUCCCGUCCUUCCUGGAAACGGGUGCCCCGAAAACCCUGGUCCACCUGGGGGUGUGGAUGAGGGGGACGCUGCAUACUCCAUACAGAAAGACCAUCAGUUACCACCAGGGAACAGCCAGUCUUCUUGCUGCAAGGCAAAUGCUCUCACCACUCUUCCACGGUGUGGCCCUAUGCUGGAUUGAUGAUCGUGUGAUAUCUCCAUCAUCAUCAUCAUCAUCAUCAUCCUCACCCUCACCUCAGGCCGUACAAGUGCAGUUACAGCCCACCCGUCGGACGACCUAACAGAGUCCCGGUGUCACUGAGUCCAUGUGUAACCUCUCCUCACUGUUGGCCUGAAGUCAGACUCAUAUACAGCAGGUUGAUGCUGAGAAGAAUAUUUAAUGAAUGCUAAAGACUCUCAGAAGCCACAGCUGUCGGCGGAGCAGACAGGAUUGCAGGAACAAGGAACAAAGAACAAAGAGCAGAACUUCAGGCACGACCAUGAAGGGAUGAACACCAAACAAGAGGCAUGAACACACAGUAUCAACCAAGGCGUUGAUCUCACCAAGAACAGAGUGAGGGACAGAGGUAUAUACACCCAGGACACCAGGUGACACCAGUGAGACUAAUGAACACAGACACAGGAGGAAAACAGAGGAUCUAGAGAAAACCUGUGUACCUGUGGAUUUUUCGCCCCUCUUUACCCCCUCCACCAGGGGAGGCAGAGAUGUUGCAGCUAAGUCAAUUAAUUUCCCUUUCAUUUUCAAUACGUUCUUGAUUUGUGUCAGUGAAGGAAUUUAAAUGAUUUAUAAUUGUAUUUUCUUUGUUCAUCGAAAAAAGCAGCUUUGGAGGAAACAUACUGUGAAUGUGUCAAAAGCUGCAGUUUGGGGACCACUGCUGGAAGGUUGGAGACGGAGACAGAUGUCUUCAGGUACAGCAGUUUUCAUUUUGCGCCUGGAUUUCCCCCUGGAAUUUUUCUCUCUUAUUCUCUACGACAUACUACGGUCAACAGAGCCGGUCGCAAAUAAAGGCACAAACAAGACAAGCGCGACCUGGCUCCAUCCAUAUGCCUGCAGCAUGCAUGUGAAACAGAACAGGAGGAGGUGGAGGAGAAGGAAGAGAGAGGAGCGCUACAGUUGUAAAGCUGAAUCCCAGCGAUGUCACGAGACAUCAGCCGACAGAACCAACACCCUGCCCAUUCCUCUGUUAGUGCAUAUAAAAAAACCCCGGCAGGAACAAUUUGUCCUUUGCAGGGAGGGGAGUGAUUUACUGCUGUAGCUGAGUGUGAAUGCCAAGGGGCCGUAAAGCUGCAGCAGCUCUGCACAUCCACACGCUGACGGCCACAGAGACACCACUGAGUCAGGCUGAAAAGUAAAAUGCACUACAUGUUUACAGCAUUAUUCAGUCAGACUUUAAUCUCAUUCAAAGAUUUCCACACACUUCUAUAUGCGCCAACGUGCACUGAUAAAAGUGCACUUGCUGGACCUGCUCGAUCCCCCUGGUCUAGAGCUGCUGGGAGAAACACAGAGGUAGAGUGGAGAUUGAACCAACAGAUCGAAGUGAUCACAUAGGCCAUGACAGGUUGAUAGAGGGUUCACACAGCCAUGAUGGAGGCCUGGACGGAGAGGCUGCUUUUCCACUUUGAAUGCCCUGCACCGCUGAACACGGUCAAAGGGUUGUUUAUUUGUUUGCCUGCUCAGUUUGAAUCUUCCAUAAGAAAAAACUGAAUACAAAUAAAUCCAUUCCAGCCCUAAAAAAAAA